CCAUAUGUCCUACGCGCUUGAUCGCACCAUAGUCGUUCCGACGCUAUUGAAAGCACCACACCUGAGUGAGGGAUGCCGCACUGUGAAAGUUUAGUUUUCUCCUGAUACAGCGGCGGAUAGCCUGUUAUUUUCCUUGUACCCUUUCCCAACAUUCAUCAUCACGCCAUGGUUUAUUGCUGUGUGUAAAUGCCAGAAGACCACGGUUAAUAAAUCAACCUCCAACUGGACAUCUGUAUCCGUGUUCUUUAAUGGGGACACACACCCUACACCUGCCGCUCUAAACCAGUUAAUUGUCCGGAGAUAACCCCCUGUUCUCCUAUUUAAUUUGGAUACUGUUUUCCUAACUGGCUUGAUUGAGGAUACAUUGUGUGGUUGCUGGUUCCCCUGUCUGAAGGAGAUACCGAGUACAGCUGAUGUGACAACAGGACAGAAGUAAGUGAGGAAACCAGCCGUAAUUAAAGCGCUUUAUGAG